rnacentral:tRNA from 1 species
GAGGGUGUAGCUCAAGUGGUAGAGCGCGUGCUUAGCAUGCACGAGGCUCUGGGUUCAGUCCCCAGUACCUUCA